AAGAGAGUCGUCAGGAGACGUUAAGACAAAAUUUCAACUUUUUCGAUUUUAUCCCUGGAGAAACCCUCGAAACUCAGUUGCAGCGAUUUACUACACUCACUACUAAGAUGAAUAUAGCCGGGAUCUUCUUGACUAAGUCCGAGAUAAACAAAAAGCUGCUAAAUUCACUUCCGAAAUCGUGGGAUAUGAACGUGGCCAUCAUCAAGAAGACAAAAGAUCUCAAUCAUCUUAGUCUUGCUGAUGUUAUUCAAGAACUUGAUGCUUUGAAGUGUAGAGAAACAAUGAGUUCUGAAAACAUUCUGGUCACUGAAGUUACAUGUACUCCAGCUUGUGAAGCCACGAUUAAAUUUCUUCGGGAACAAAUCGAUUUAUUUAAAAGAGAAGUUGAGGACCUGAGAUAUGAAGGAUAUGAACUCAGGAAAGGACAGAANAGUGAAGAUACGAUUAAAUUUCUUCGGGAACAAAUUGAUUUAUUUAAAAGAGAAGUUGAGGACCUGAGAUAUGAAGGAUAUCAACUCAGGAAAGGACAGAAACCCCUGAAGGCUGAGUUAGAAGCAAAAACCAAGGACUUUAGGAAACUUCAGGAAGAGUAUAGCAACAAGUGUGAAAAUUAUGAUUAUGUUAAGAGUCAACUUGUUGCUGUAACUGAAGAACUUGACGCUUUAAAAAUUAAGUGUGGAAAAACUGAUGUCAGUUUCAAAAAUUAUACUGCGUCAAGUCAGACAGUCGAGUCCUUAUAUGAAACCC
rnacentral:lncRNA from 1 species